UAUUUAGGUCAGGUGGCAAUGACCGACAGAUCUCAUCCACAUAAAAGGAGGAAAACGCCAUCGCCUGAUCUCGCUGCUUUCUCUUCCUUAACUCCGUCUGCUCCAGAAGUUCUGUGCGUCCAUGAAUUCACGGCUGCUUCAGAGGUCAUCUGCUGCGGAACGGUGAAAACAGAGAUGGCUAAAAAACAUCCUCCACUGCAUCGGCAAUACAGCAUCCCCCCGCAGUGCAACCCCAUCAGAAGCACACAUUAAUCUGAUAGAUACUGACAGCUGAAUUGACAGGACCCUGUCAUUAUACCAAGUCCUCAACAAGCUUGUGUCGUGUCUUUGGCAUCAUUAAAUUGAAGACUGUUAUUUUA